rnacentral:rRNA from 1 species
UCGGGAAUAUUGCGGCAAUGGAGGAAACUCUGACGCAGUGACGCCGCGUAUAGGAAGAAGGUUUUCGGAUUGUAAACUAUUUUAGUCAGGGAAGAAAAUGACAGUACCUGAAGAAUAAGCCCCGGCUAACUACGUGCCAGCAGCCGCGGUAAUACGUAGGGGGCAAGCGUUAUCCGGAUUUACUGGGUGUAAAGGGAGCGCAGGCGGCGAAGCAAGCCAGAGGUGAAAACCCGGGGCUCAACCCCGAGGAUUGCCUUUGGAACUGUUUUGCUUGAGUGCUGGAGGGGCAGGCGGAAUUCCUGGUGUAGCGGUGAAAUGCGUAGAUAUCAGGAGGAACACCGGUGGCGAAGGCGGCCUGCUGGACAGUAACUGACGCUGAGGCUCGAAAGCGUGGGGAGCAAACAGGAUUAGAUACCCUGGUAGU